rnacentral:lncRNA from 1 species
UCUUGUCUGAUUCUACAUGUCAUAUAGUUUAUCCACUUAUACUCUGAUAUCAUAUUAAUUGUCACACUUCCGAUCCGAGAUCAUGAACAGAGGGUCAUGCCAACUAUCGCAUAGCCGCAUACUUAUGAAGAACUCUCUCCAUAAGCAUGCAAGGUAUCUCAUCACGAUAUCAAUGCAUCAUAGCGGAAUAAAAUUUAAAUAAUUAUUAUUUAAUUUUAAAUAAUUAAAUCAAAUAUCUUACAUCCAAUAAAGUUUCACUAAAAAUAAAAUAAUAGAUCUAAGUUCAAUAAAGUUGAUAAUGCUAAAUCUCGUCUUUAAAAGCUCUGUCCGAACAUUAUUAUCCACGGUCACAAUUAAUUAUCUGAAACUAAAAAAUAAAAAGAAAGAUAAUGAGCUAAAUAGCCCAGUAAGUAAUAAAUAUCUCAACUAGACAUAUCAGAUAUUAUAUAAUAUUCAAGAAUAAUGCGAUGAAUAAACAUAAAAAUAUAUUUCAUGCUAAUUCAAUGUAAAUCCAAUCUUUUCAAAUAUUUAUAUAUAAUAUAUUCAUAAAUCUGAUUCGAAUCAAAAUACUCAUAACUCAACAGCCUCGAGUAUGACCAAUAUUUAACCCCCAUUGGUGGAAUCUACUGCAUAUCAGCAUACAAUCUCCACUGGUAGGAUCCACUGAAUACCAGCGUACAACUCCCAUUGGCAGGGUCC